rnacentral:rRNA from 1 species
CCCGGGUCUUGUACACACCGCCCGUCACACCGUGGGAGUGGGUUUCACCAGAAGUAGGUAGCUUAACCUUCGGGAGGGCGCUUACCACGGUGAGAUUCAUGACUGGGGUG